rnacentral:rRNA from 1 species
AAUCUGGGACAAUGGGCGUAAGCCUGAUCCAGCCAUGCCGCUUGUUUGAAGAAGGUCUUCGGAUUGUAAAGCACUUUAAGUUGGGAGGAAGGGCUUUAGGUUAAUACCCUGAAGUUUUGACGUUACCAACAGAAUAAGCACCGGCUCACUCUGUGCCAGCCGCCGCGGUAAUACUGAGGGUGCAAGCGUUAAUCGGAAUUACUGGGCGUAAAGGGAGCGUAGGUGGUUCAGUAAGAUGGGUGUGAAAUCACCGGGCUUAACCUGGGAACUGCUUUCAUAACUGCCGAGCUAGAGUACGGUAGAGGGUAGUGGAAUUUCCUGUGUAGCGGUGAAAUGCGUAGAUAUAGGAAGGAACACCAGUGGCGAAGGCGACUACCUGGACUGAUACUGACACUGAGGUGCGAAAGCGUGGGGAGCAAAC